UACAGAGGUCCCAAGCGUUGUUCGGAUUCAUUGGGCGUAAAGGGUGCGUAGGUGGCAGGGGUAAGUUGGAUGUGAAAUCCCGGGGCUCAACCCCGGAACUGCAUUCAAUACUGCCCUGCUAGAGUACUGGAGAGGAGAUUGGAAUUCAUGGUGUAGCAGUGAAAUGCGUAGAUAUCGUAAGGAAGACCAGUGGCGAAGGCGGGUCUCUGGACAGUUCCUGACGCUGAGGCACGAAGGUCAGGGGAGCAAACGGG
rnacentral:rRNA from 1 species